GGUGCUGUACUUUAAAUAAAAGGCUUGUUUUGCAUAUAAGAAAUAGAUUUUUGUCUCGGUGCCA
rnacentral:tRNA from 1 species